rnacentral:rRNA from 1 species
GACGAACGCUGGCGGCGUGCUUAACACAUGCAAGUCGAACGGAAAGGCCUUUUCGGAGGUACUCGAGUGGCGAACGGGUGAGUAACACGUGGGUGAUCUGCCCUGCACUCUGGGAUAAGCCUGGGAAACUGGGUCUAAUACCGGAUAGGACCGCACUUUAGUGUGUGUGGUGGAAAGUUUUUUCGGUGUAGGAUGAGCCCGCGGCCUAUCAGCUUGUUGGUGGGGUAAUGGCCUACCAAGGCGGCGACGGGUAGCCGGACUGAGGGGUUGGUCGGCCACAUUGGGACUGAGAGACGGCCCAGACUCCUACGGGAGGCAGCAGUGGGGAAUAUUGCACAAUGGGCGCAAGCCUGAUGCAGCGACGCCGCGUGGGGGAUGACGGCCUUCGGGUUGUAAACGCCUUUCGCCAGGGACGAAGCGUUUUGUGACGGUACCUGGAGAAGAAGCACCGGCUAACUACGUG